AGGGCUGUGGCUCAGAGGUAGAGCAUACGCUUUGAAUGCCAAAGGCCCCAAUUUCUAUCCUUGGCACCCCCC